CGCCCAACCGUCCCUCCCCCCCGGAUCCGCCACUGCAUCAGUGUUGAGUUCUAAUGCUGUUGGUACUGUUUCAGAUUUACGAGUCGUUUGCACGGCACUUUGGGCAGACAGAGAAAAGAAAGUGCUGCUCCACCUCCACAAAGGAUGGAUGCACAUUGCAAGGAAGAGAAAGGGACUAGUUAGAGUAAUGAUCAGCUCAUCAAUGAGAAUAUUAUUGAUGAACAAGAUAAUUAUUACCCAGCAUGAGUAAUUCAUGCCCUUGCUCAUCUGCUGAAGGAGGUGCAUCUGACCUUUUCACUUGUGAGUUGGAAGUAUAUGCCAGGUGAUAGUUGCAUUGGGUGUGUGGCAACCUUAUAAUGCAAGAAUGUACUUGUACCUGUGGCAUCUUACCAGUUGUUUUCAUAGGAUCAUAUUAAGCACUGAAAGCUUCCUUUUUCUGUUCUUGCAAAUUUGUAUCAGAGACACAAUAAAUGUUUCUUAUUUAGA